UAUUCUUGUAAAAGAUCCUACCAAAAAGCCCCCAAAUUAUGUGCAAUGGACUAAACUAUGAGGUCGAAUGUUCAUCAAUUGGUAGCAAAGGAAGAGGAAAAAAAAAAGUUACCUCUCUUUACUUUCUUCCUAUUGGGAUCGCUAGAGACCAGCGUGAAUUGAACAAGAUUAAUCGUAUUUUGGGCUUUGCUGAAUUAGAACUUUUGUUGGACUUAAGAUGAGAAAGAGAAUCGAAACCAAAAUAGACAGAGACACGAGAAAGAAUCAUCCAAAUGAAAUGAAAUAUAAAAAAAACAACAGAAGAAGUGAAUUGUAUAUGAUUACAUACAUUUGGAAAGCUGAAUUUAAAGCAAUAUUACUUGGCCUGAGAAAGAUCAUUAAGAUGAUUUUCCAUUAGGUCGACAUUGUUUGAUGAAUUGUGUGAUUGAUGAACCGAUGAUCAUGCUUAUUGUUGAAAAAAAGUAUAAACAAAAUGAAUUGGAAUUGGAAACACCGAGAGAGAGAAAGAGAAACUUAAUGAACAACAACAACAACAACAGGAAAAGGAGCAAAAAAAAGUUGAAGACAAGAGACAUGGUGGAAAUGGAAACGAGCAGAAAAUUCUGAGGUUCACUUGACCUUUACCGUUAUUUUUUCUCUUCACAAAUUGAUCCAGUUUCGUUCAUCAGCUCACCUUGAGAUAAUAUUUACUAUCAACUACGGAACUCAAGUGAAGAAAAAAAAAUACUCAUGUAAUAGGAUAAAGAGGAAAACGAGAGCAAGUGAAAGUAAAGUCCAGAAAAAGGACCAACAACAAGUGAGAGAGUCGAAAAAAAGUAACAUUUAUCAUCAGAAUAACUAAUUGUUUUUCAGUUUAUUCUCUUUUUUUUCGAUAUUUUUUUCGUUCUCUAUUCUUUUUUUUUUCUUCUUCUUCUUCAUUCAGGUCAAUCAUUACUUCCCUAAUGUACCAAGUAACUUGUGUUCAAGUGUGUUCAUCAUUAAUCUGACUUAGGUGACAACAAUUGACAAAACGAAAAACUGAAAGGCUAAUUCCUUAAUCAUAACAAUUAUCCGAUUGAACAAUUGACUGAAUAAUAUAUACAAGAGAAAUUAAAUCCAUUGGAAAUCAAGUUGUUAACACAAUAUUACAUACUAUUAUAUGUAAUGAUAGAAAUGAUUCUGGCUGAUGAAUUAAUAUAUCUACACACCAGUGGAUUGAAUAAACGAGAAUCAAGCAUGAGGAGAGGGAAAAAAGGACAUGAUUGGAAAAAUAAUCGGUGUAAUUAAUUAUAUUCCCAGUGACAUGGACCAUAAAUAUCUAUUCAUCUGUGAAUGUAUUUAUAUUUCAUAUGCAUUGAGGUAAAUUCAUAUCUUGAUAAUGUUUAUGGAGAGCGAGAGAGAGAGAGAGAGAGAGUGAGAUGGAAGACAAAGACAUUGGCUCACUCAUAUAUCAAUAUUCAUAAAGAUAAUGAUGAUUCUGAUAGUAAUCAUGAUAACAUGGAGAAACGAGAAGAGAAAAUGUUGGAAAGUUUGAGUGAUAAAAAUGAAAAACGUCGACUGGAAAUCGAGGCUGAGGAAGAUGAGAAAAUGAUGAGAAAAAGCUGAGAAUAUGGAAAAGGAGAAGGAGAAAAAAUUGGACUACAUCCUUUGGAACUCUCAAAGAAUUAAUUCUGUUGUUUACUGUUACUGAUGCAAAGGAAGAUGAAAUAUAUGAGAUACGAAGGAGCAACAUGGUAGAAAAAGGUUAUUGGAAACAAUUCAAGUAUGAAAAUGAUAACCUGCCAAUAUACAGGGAGAGAGGAGGGUAUUAUAAAAACACAAGACAUACACCAUGUACACUCUCACACAACCUACAGUGAGAACUACAGACACACACACUAACUCACUUGCAGAAAGUUUUUACAACAAAAGAUAAACAGUAUCACCUUCAUAUUGGUCAAGAAGUAUUCUGAUUAUUAUCAAUGUUGAACAGAAAGAGAGACGAUCAUCAUCAUCAUCAGAGAGAAAAUAUAUUCGAUAUAUUAAGAAGAAGGAGAGAGAAUAUGGACUGAGAGAGAUAGAGAGAGAGAGAGGAUUUUCUCAAAGUUGAGAUGUAAUUUUAAAUUAAAUCUCGAGUUUAAUUUAUUUAACUUUUGUCAAAUUUUUGAGGGAAAAAUUGAAACUCUCUCUUUGAUAUUAUGGUUGAGCUUUUGACUGCUGUUACUGAUCCUGCUCUCGGUGGUGUUAUUAUGCUUAAUGUUUACCCUGAGUGUGCAUAACCAUUACCAUCCUUACCAAAUGACCUCUCAACUCGUCUCAUUGUUACUCUGCUUAAAAAGUUACUCUUUUUUAACCAUCAUCAUUGUUCAUCUUUAUUAUCAUUUUAUUUUAUUUGAAUAGUUCACUUAGAUUCAUUUGAGAAGGAAAUAAUUUUAGAGAACUGGGAAUGGGAUUUGUUUUGUUUUCUAUCUCUCAUCUUUCCCACUCUCCCAGUUCUCUCUCUCUCUCUCUCUUUUUACAUUCUACUCAGAUUUUGAAGCAAUUUCAACUCAAAAAUGACCUGGAAUUGCCAUUAGGUCAUUGACUGAAGUUCUGACUCCCUUCAACUCACUUUUUCAAUCUUAUUUCUGUAACUUUCCCUUUCUCACUCAUGCAACUGAUAAAAAGGGAUGGAGAUGAUAAUGAUGAGGAAGAAGAUUUAAUGAUGAUAACUGAUAACCGAUGUGUUGGAUAAUAUUGGUUAGUUUCCUUUGGACGAUUAACGAAGGAGGGAAAAGAUGAUGACGAUACGAAACAAAGGACAAUCAAGGAACCGGAAACAUGGGAAAAGUUAAAAAGAAAGAGAGAGAAAAAGUUUCAGUCUAUUA